GGGAUACCCAGAGGAAACUUUGGCUAAUACCGGAUAACAACAGAGAAGGCAUCUCUUUGCUUGAAAGGCCCUUCAAGGGUCACUUAAGGAUGGACCUGCGGCGCAUUAGCUAGUUGGUGAGAUAACAGCCCACCAAGGCGAGGAUGCGUAGCCGAACUGAGAGGUUGAUCGGCCACAUUGGAACUGAGACACGGUCCAAACUCCUACGGGAGGCAGCAGUAAGGAGUUUUCGGCAAUGGGGGAAACCCUGACCGAGCAACGCCGCGUGAGGCGAUGACGGCCCUAUGGGUUGUAAAGCUCUGUUGUAAGCCAUGAAUGAUAGCUUGAGGAAAUGCAAGCUAUUUGACGACAGCUUACCAGAAAGCCACGGCUAACUACGUGCCAGCCGCCGC
rnacentral:rRNA from 1 species